UCUUAUGGAUAAACAAAGAAAGUAGUUUCUUGAGAUGGAAUCUACCCAUAGUGAAGAUGCUGAGAU
rnacentral:pre_miRNA from 1 species